rnacentral:rRNA from 1 species
CAGCAGUAGCCGCGGGAACACGGAGGGUGCAAGCGUUACUCGGAAUCACUGGGCGUAAAGGACGCGUAGGCGGAUUAUCAAGUCUCUUGUGAAAUCUAACGGCUUAACCGUUAAACUGCUUGGGAAACUGAUAAUCUAGAGUAAGGGAGAGGCAGAUGGAAUUCUUGGUGUAGGGGUAAAAUCCGUAGAGAUCAAGAAGAAUACCCAUUGCGAAAGCGAUCCGCUGGAACUUAACUGACGCUAAUGCGUGAAAGCGUGGGGAGCAAACAGGAUUAGAUACCCCCGUAGUCCCUGUCUCUUAUAC